rnacentral:rRNA from 1 species
GACGUAGGCGGCUUUUCAAGUCGGUUGUAAAAUCUCCUCGCUUAACGGGGAGGGAUCAGCCGAUACUGUUGAGCUUGAGAGCAGCAGAGGGAGGCGGAAUUCCCGGUGGAGUGGUGAUAUGCGUAGAUAUCGGGAAGAACACCAGUGGCGAAGGCGGCCUCCUGGGCUGUUUCUGACGCUGAGGUCCGAAAGCGUGGGGAGCGAACAGGAUUAGAUACCCUGGUAGUCC